UCCAGAUUUGGGAAAAAUAAGUUUCACUUUGGUGGGAUUUGAAACUCUCUUGAUUCCUAGAAAGCCCGAGAAGGUGUCAUUCAGGAGAAAGAGGCAGCGACUAGGAAAAGACCAAAUAACUGUCAGCUGUGAGGCCCAGUACGUCAAGAGAGGUGUCUGACCCUGUGAUCGGCCCCUCUGUGAUCCUGUAGUGACUGUGACUGUCUGGCCUCUCUGCUAUCUCUCUGUGUUGAA